rnacentral:tRNA from 1 species
GCUGUAGCUCAGGGGUAAAGUGCUUGCCUUGCAUGUGUGAGGCACUGGGUUCAAUGCUCAGCACUGCA